UAUUGGAGAUGAAGGAGUAGAAAAUACUCCGUCAAACACCAAGCAAGAGUAAUUCGAGCGACAACACAAGAUUAAACAAUAGAGUUUGAUCCGGCGACGAGUGGCGAACGGGUGAGUAAUACAUCGGAACGUGUCCGCUCGUGGGGGACAACCAGCCGAAAGGUUGGCUAAUACCGCAUGAGUUCUACGGAAGAAAGAGGGGGACCCGCAAGGGCCUCUCGCGAGCGGAGCGGCCGAUGACUGAUUAGCCGGUUGGUGAGGUAACGGCUCACCAAAGCAACGAUCAGUAGCUGGUCUGAGAGGACGACCAGCCACACUGGGACUGAGACACGGCCCAGACUCCUACGGGAGGCAGCAGUGGGGAAUUUUGGACAAUGGGCGCAAGCCUGAUCCAGCUAUUCCGCGUGUGGGAUGAAGGCCCUCGGGUUGUAAACCACUUUUGUAGAGAACGAAAAGACACCUUCGAAUAAAGGGUGUUGCUGACGGUACUCUAAGAAUAAGCACCGGCUAACUACGUGCCAGCAGCCGCGGUAAUACGUAGGGUGCGAGCGUUAAUCGGAAUUACUGGGCGUAAAGGGUGCGCAGGCGGUUGAGUAAGACAGAUGUGAAAUCCCCGAGCUUAACUCGGGAAUGGCAUAUGUGACUGCUCGACUAGAGUGUGUCAGAGGGAGGUGGAAUUCCACGUGUAGCAGUGAAAUGCGUAGAUAUGUGGAAGAACACCGAUGGCGAAGGCAGCCUCCUGGGACAUAACUGACGCUCAGGCACGAAAGCGUGGGGAGCAAACAGGAUUAGAUACCCUGGUAGUCCACGCCCUAAACGAUGUUAACUAGUUGUUGGGAAGUAAAAUUCUCAGUAACGCAGCCAACGCGAGAAGUUAACCGCCUGGGAAGUACGGUCGCAAGACUAAAACUCAAAGGAAUUGACGGGGACCCGCACAAGCGGUGGAUGAUGUGGAUUAAUUCGAUGCAACGCGAAAAACCUUACCUACCCUUGACAUGUCAGGAAGCUCUUGU
rnacentral:rRNA from 1 species